rnacentral:rRNA from 1 species
UACGAAGGGGGCUAGCGUUGCUCGGAAUGACUGGGCGUAAAGGGCGCGUAGGCGGAUGGCUUUGUCGGGCGUGAAAUUCCAGGGCUUAACCUUGGGGCUGCGUUCGAGACGGGUUGUCUUGAGUGGGGAAGAGGGUCGUGGAAUUCCCAGUGUAGAGGUGAAAUUCGUAGAUAUUGGGAAGAACACCGGUGGCGAAGGCGGCGGACCUGGUCCUUUACUGACGCUGAGGCGCGAAAGCGUGGGGAGCAAACAGG